UCCUUCCACUAAUAUGGAAAUGUUUCCUAUAAUUGCACAUGUAUAGUUUUUGUUAGAUUGCUUACUGUCAGAGUGGGGAAGGGAGGAAGGGAAAGAUGGAUUUUAGAACUCCAAACUUAAAAAAACCAAAAAAACAACCAAUGUGAAAAUUAUUUUUACAUAUAAUGGGAAGGAAAUUAAUGUUGUUUUUUAAAGGUCACCCAGACACCCAGGGGCUGCCAAAUCCCACUAUUGCUUCAGUCUGGUGAGAAGACCCUAUGCCCUGGGCCACCUGGUGCAGUGUUUUGACCACAGCUCUCGCUGCUUGGUCACUCCCCCAUGAUUACAGGACUUGAAGGGAGGUAAAAUCAUAAGAGUAGAAUCACACAACAGUGGUUGAUGAUGGAGACUGGUGCAGGAACUGGAUUUAAGUGAGACAGAGCUGCACAAAGUCAUCAGCCUCCUUCUCUCUUCCUGAGUCAUCAAAGUCCAGCAGCAGGACAUGUCAGAAUGACCGCUGAUGCCCUGGGGAGACCUGUGACCCCGGCGCCUUCAACGCCUGACCCAUCUGAAGCGCCGUUUUCACGGCCCCUGGAACGAACUGGCCUCACUUCCCACUUUGCUGGUGGGAAGUCUUCACAUGCUUGUGAAAUGGUACAGGGUGCUCCCAAGGUCUUUGUGGGAGCCCGGGCCCAGGACCGCCCAGCAUGGUGUGCCCACAUCAAAGAAGGCGCUGUGCUCUGUGAGCGAAGCGGAAUCGCAGCAGCUCAAAAGAAAUGUGGGAUGCCCAAAUUUAGAGGCAUCUUCCCUCCAAAUGUUCACAGGCACUCUCUGUGCCCGACCUGCGGUAGCGCCUUCCAAGCAUGAGGGAUGAGGAACAAAAACUUGACUUAAAAAUAUCGACGGGCCCCAGACCUCCCUCUGGAGGAGCUCCUGUGAUUUUGUUCUUCGGUCAUUUUCCAGUCACUCUGUGACCCCAUUUGGGGUUUUCUUGUCAAAGAUACUGGAGAGCUUGGCCGUUUCUUGUCCACCUCCUCCUUUUACAGAGGGGGAAACUGAGGCAGAUGGGCUGAAGGGACUUGCCCAGCGAAACCCAGCUAGUCAAGGUCCCAUUUGAGCUCAGGUCAUCCCCAUUGCAGGAUGGGCACUGUAACCACUGCCCACCCAACUGCCAAAGCCAGAGCUGAAAUCUGGGUUUCCUGCCCCCACAGUCCAAAACGGUUCACGAUAGCCCAGUGCCCUGGAUGCCUAGCCAGACCAGCAGGACCCUUUAUCCACAGGACUCCAGUCUUCCAGAGAUUCAGGCUCCCACCCAAUUGGCAUUCACCAGAGGGGAGAAGGAGGAAGGGUCUCCCUGAGGGUUCCGGCCCGAGGGAUGCCUCCUGCACCAAGUGAGGAACUCUUGGAUUCCAAUGAGCCACCAGGACCUGGGGCAGGAAUGACCAGCAAUGGUUGGGAGCCAUCAGCUGGUACAUGAGACUGCUGCUCCAAGGUGAAAGGGCAGACUCCUGGGCUUGCCUCUGGCAGGAGAGAGCAUGGGCUCACAAUAACGUGGCCAGGCUAGACUUGGGGGGAGACGUUACUGGGUGAGUAUCAACGUGGCACCAUGUCUGGUGGAUCUGGAAGCCUGGGGAGGAGGGGCUGGUUGGGCAGGGAGGUGAGAAACCUGGAGGAGCCCGGUCAAAACCUGGACAACUUCAGCCUUUUUCUGGAAGUUGGCCCUGAGAAUGGAGAACCUCCAGGCUGAUAAACAGAUUCCUCAUUCAAUUUGAACUUGGAGACAUUUCGCCAAAUCUUGGGUUAUCAUAUGUAAAGCUGACUAUUUGAACCCAUGAGGAAAUUUACAUUUAUUUCUAUUCAACUUCAUUUUAUUAAUGUGACUCCCAUCAUUCUAGCCUCUUGAGCUCUUUUUGGUUGCUCCCAACCAUGGGGAGAGACCCCAAUUCAGUGUCAUCUUCAGAUUUUAGAAUUUUUUUUUCUGAGUUUGAGUCAUUGAUUAAAAUGUUGAGGAGCAGGUCAUUCACUUUCUUAUUUUUUUUCUGUUAUUUCUGCUUAUAUCUGUAAAGGGUAUAUUGGGAAAUCCUACUAUUAUAUUUUUUCUAUCUAUUUAUCACCAUAAUUCACUUAACUUUCCUUGAAGUGUUUAGAUUCUUUGACAUUCAUUGCCUGUAUAUUUAUUAUUUUUAUUUCAUUAUAUAGAGGGCCUUUAAGCAUAAUACUGUAUCCUUUUUUUCCCGUUUUUCCUUUUCUUUCUGUUUUAGUUCAACCGAAUACAAUAAAUUCUGUCUAGAUAUUCAAAAAA